rnacentral:rRNA from 16 species
CGUCCAUGGAUGAGACUGUGAACAACUCAGCGCGUCCAAAGCAAACGUGACUUGAUUGCAUGAUUCAGCGCGGGAUGGCAAAGGAUUGAC